rnacentral:rRNA from 1 species
UAAAAAAUUUGGCGGUAUUUUAGUCUAUUCAGAGGAAUCUGUUCUGUAAUCGAUAAUCCACGAUGGACCUUACUUAAAUUUGUUAAUCAGUUUAUAUACCGUUGUUGUAAGAAUAUUUUAAAAGAAAAAUAAUUUUCUUUAAUUUUAAUUAAAAUUUAUAUCAGAUCAAGGUGUAGCUUAUAUUUAAGUAGAAAUGGAUUACAAUAAAAAAAUUUAUAUGGAAAUAAGUUUGAAAUAAUUUAUUGAAAGUGGAUUUGAUAGUAAAAUUAUAGAGAUUAAUAAUUUGAUUUUAGCUCUAAAAUAUGUACACAUCGCCC